rnacentral:lncRNA from 1 species
GUGCGUGCCAAGAACGGCUACUGGGGGGGGGGGGCGUGAGUGCGCGGCAGGGAGCACAGAAAGUCGUGUUGUUUCGUUUUGUUUUCUGAACAACGAAUGGGUCUUGGGGAUUUCAAAGUACCUGGAGCACUGGGAGAACCCUCGUUUUUGUCUGUGCUUAAAUGCCGGUUUUGUUUUUGCUUUUUUAAACGAGUAUUUGCCACGGCCCGAGUGGUUCAAGAGUUCACGGAGUGAGAAACGAUCAGCCCUGCCUCGUCUAUGGGAGGAAGCGAACAAGAUGCAUGCUCCUCGUUCCACUGGGGCCUUGCCACAUCCACAGGAGGAGGGUCUUGCUAUGUCGCUAAAUUGGCCAGGCUCAGCUCGAACCUGCAAUCUUCUCGCCUUGGCCGACAAGCACUCUGAGAUUUCUGGUGUGCACCGCCACACCCGCUGCCCUGGUCUGAGGGCAACUUGGCUCCCAAGUGCUUGGGGAAGCACCUCAAUUUUAC